AGUUGUUGCAGUUAAAAAGCUCGUAGUUGGAGUUCAGGGUGAGCUCAGCUGGUCGGCCUAAUGGGUCAGAACUGGUUGACUCUCCCUUGGUUGUGGAUCCCUCCGGAGUUAAUUCUUCGGGUGUGGAGUCCACAUCGUUUACCUUGAAAAAAUUAGAGUGUUCAAAGCAGGCGUUUGCUUGAAUAUAUUAGCAUGGAAUAAUGGAAUAGGACGCUGGUUCUAUUUUGUUGGUUUUGAGAACCAGAGUAAUGAUUAAUAGGGACAGUUGGGGGCAUUCAUAUUUCAUUGUCAGAGGUGAAAUUCUUGGAUUUAUGAAAGAUGAACUUCUGCGAAAGCAUUUGCCAAGGAUGUUUUCAUUAAUCAAGAACGAAAGUUAGGGGAUCGAAGACGAUCAGAUACCGUCGUAGUCUUAACCAUAAACUAUGCCGACUAGGGAUUGGGCGUGGUUUGUUCAUUGACCCGCUCAGCACCUUACGAGAAAUCAAAGUCUUUGGGUUCCGGGGGGAGUAUGGUCGCAAGGCUGAAACUUAAAGGAAUUGACGGAGGGGCACCACCAGGAGUGGAGCCUGCGGCUUAAUUUGACUCAACACGGGAAAACUUACCAGGUCCAGACAUAGUGAGGAUUGACAGAUUGAGAGCUCUUUCUUGAUUCUAUGGGUGGUGGUGCAUGGCCGUUCUU
rnacentral:rRNA from 1 species